UCUGGUAGUCAGCCUCUUGUGGCGUGUUCGAGGGGUCGUCGUGCCUCACUUCUUGUAUGUGGCAACUAUGGUGGCUUCGGGCGAAGUCAGGGUUGUUGUUGUGCUCUGGUAGUCGGUCUCUUCCAGCGUGUUCGGGGGGUCGUCAUGCCUCACUUCGUCUCUCUGAAGUAGGAGCUGUUGAGGAUGACUUGGCGACGCUGACACGAGGCAAGUGGUCGAUUUCAGCGAUGGCUCGUGGCAAGCCCGAUGCUUUUCUCCUGCAAUGCUCGUCGACAAAGUCCAAACUGGCUGGUCACCGGCGCGUGCGGCUGAGUGUUUGGCAUGGACCGGCGCGGGCCUUGACACUUGUUUGUGGUGAGGGCUUCGUUGGUGUUUGUCGAUGGAGUCGGACUCGCCCUCGCGGAGGCGUGAUGACGAUGAGGCCGAGCUGCAACCUCGACGGCGCUUUUCUCCUCGUCGUGUGUGUGUUUUUGUGUGGAUUGCCAUGUCGCCCUGUGUACCUUAUUUUUGCAGGCGUGAUGUGACGGUCCUAGCCCGGUUUCUCGUUAAUUAACCAUACAAUUCUCUUCUACCUUUUUUUAAUGAAUCGGGCCUUAGGAACCGUGUUUCAAUAAAAAAAUGUCAUUCUCGUCUUUGACGGUAAUUUGUAUGCAUAGGCAAUCGGGUAAUUUUAGAGCAUAGUUCACCUGCUUUACAUUUUCCUUUCAUUAGCUCAUGAGCACAAAUCCACCAGAGACGCCGAGGAAGCAAUAGUUUUACCUUUGACGGUACUUUUUUACGGUGAAGAUUGAUUGCAAGACCAGAGACCCUGCUGUACAUGGAUGAAGAGGUUAUGGUUGGGGCACGGUGGCGGGGUUCGUUUCGCAAAUAGUCAAUAGUAAUGGGCGUGUUACAGCAAAAGUGGCCAAGGCAGAGCUGACCGCCUGGAUCUGGACGGCACAGGAGAGAUCGGACGGCGUCCGAUGGCCAGAGUGCAGAGUACCUAGAGCUGGCCGAGUUCAUAUAAGACGCAGCAACCAUGCCCGAUCCCUUCCUCACUCCCUCUCCUACCCAAAGCUCCAGUGGGUUCCGAUUCCAUGCGGCUCUGAAAUCUCCCAUACAUCCUGCGCCACCGCUACGCUCUGGAGCUGCCGCCCUGCUGUGGCUCGGCGUCGCCACCACCGCACCGCCUCUCGCCGGCCACCCCCGCGGUUCCCGUUGUACCUCAUGGAGUCGCAGCUGCCUCCACCCCGACGGCGGUCUUGGACACUGGUAUUCGAGAUAGAGAGGACGAGCUGCAAGGCGGCCAAGCCUCGCGGGCAGGAGUUGGACACACAUGGAGAGUGCAGACCGAGAGGAUUCUGGCCACGGGGAGCACCGUCGGCGCGGAUUCACCCAUAGCAAAAAUAUGGUGUUAUCCUGAUUGAGCUUUUCUUCUAGCCACCAUCCUCCCCCUUCGCUUCCUCUUCUCACCCCGUUGUUUGGGUCUUCUUGACCUUGCAAGACCUUUUCUUGACCUUGUAAGACCCAACAAUAUCACGUUUUCUCCCACACUCUUCAUCUUCUUGUUCCACCUUCUUUUCCUUGCCAUGUUCCUUUCCACCCCUCUCUCUUCCAUCUUUCUUUCAUCUAUCCCUCCUGAGCUAUAUUUUUUUAUAGUUGCAUUUCUUAUAUUCAAAGUAUUGGGAACAAGAUGAUACAUGGAGUGACAAGUGAAGGAGAUUCUACCUCCUUUGUCAUACGAUGUGUGUAGAUUCAUCAUUUCCACGUUGUAUUUUCCUUCUUUUGUUUCGGUUGUAGAGAGUACAGUUGAUGAGAUACAAAAGCACAGUCCUUGUUGCCGUAAUGCUCAUGCACGUGGAGUAGGAGCCUACAUGUAAUUGAGCAUGUUUAUGUGUGCCAAUGUUGUAAUAAGUUUGCUAUUCCUGCUUGAAUAGAAACAUUCUGAUGCUGUGGUACUGUUGAGAAGAACUGUUCAUUUUGGCA